UUAGCCAUUCAGCAGUUUAUGACCUCGGUUUACUAAGUCCUCGUAACAAGAUUACCGGAGGGGUUUUGCAAGCUUCUAGACCCAGGUGUGGCUGAAGGUCCAUGCGGUGAGAUGGCUGACUGACAGAAGGAAGUUGUUCUCUGGGGUGUGUGUGACCCAAAGACCAAUGGAGGGAGGAAGAACAGAUGCUCCAAAUGGCCACUGCACUUCUCCAAUGUCUGAAGAUUUCCAGAUGGACAGCACCAUCACAUGCCCACGCAGCGUGGAUACAGCCACAUCCAGGGCUCGGGCGCGGGCAUAGUCUUUGCUCCCUACUUACGGCUGUAAGCAGUCCCACCUCAGCUUCACAUCCAAGCUGGCUAAGAACCCUGGACAAAGAGAAUCUGUUGAGAGGAGCUUAGAGGAAGACAGGAGCAUUUUCACCAUCUCUGUUUAUCAACGGUCACAUCCUAGCUCUGGGCGCUCAUCUCUCAAUAAUAUGUUGAGAGAGGAUGGAAAAAGAAAAUCUUUCUCAUUUUCCAACUCGUACCCAUGAAGAUACAAAUAAACAAAACUCCUGACUCUUGUGAAUGUCACCAAGAAAAAAAUUAGUUGGAAGACUAACCAGUAACUCACAAGUCAACCCGGAAGUUUCUGGAAAUGAACAGGAAGCAAAGCACACCAGGGGUUGUCAGCUUUCACCGCAGCUGAGGUCUUGCACUGUCCAACCUGAUGAUGAGGUACUUCCCUGAGACCCUGGCCACCCUGCCAGCCCCAUGGCACCACUGCUAACAGGUGUGGGAUGCUGGGACCUCCACCGCCCACCUUCAGCUCAAGUCUCCAGUGUCCCCGGGCUGAUUCUCCUCACUCACUGCUCAUUUGGUCCAGCUGGCCAAGCUUGGGUCCUGUGUCCACACCCCACUGCCAGGGGUCUCGGAGAGCUAGUAGCCAGCCUUUCCUGUUUCCCUGGUGGAUGGCAGAGUCCCAAUAUGAGAAGUGGGUUCAAAUGCAAGGCAGCCAAAAAACCAGGAAAUAUUUAGCUCACUCACCUAAUCCUGGCUAUUUUCAGCUGAUCAACAAACAGAAAAGCAGAAAACCCCAAAUUUGACUGCUCUAUCUGCUUAUCCUUCUGUGAGCCCUUCUAAGCAGGCUUUGGAGAAGAGCCCCACAUGCAGCUGUGGGGUUUAAUUGAAUCCUGUUCAGGAGGAAAAGAUAGAGGUGGUUGUCAGGCAUGUGGCUCAGUUGACUAUUCAGAGUUGGAGUCUUUGCUUUUGGGCAGUGAGGUCUCAGGAGCCAGGGGACCUCGGCCAGUCCCAGUGAACUGAAUGAAGGGUCACUAGCAGAAGCAAGAGGCACCAUGGGGCCCCAGGAAGAUCAGGAGCCUGGACGUGCCUAGUUCCAGCACAUUCUGUGGAGCUGUUCACCAGCCAAGGAGCCGGGAAGUCUGGGUUCCAGCCCAGCCCUGCCUUUGCUUCUGGCAUAACUUUGAGCAGAUCUUUCAACUUUUGUGACUCAGUUUACUCAUUUGCCAAAUGGAGAUAAUCAUAUGGCACUCAAAAGACUUUUGUAAGACUCUAAUGAGUGUUUAUAAAGCACUUUGGAGAGGUUUAUAGUUAUUUGAGCUGGGAAAGGAAUUACAAAUUAUUCAGGAGUAAACAGUAUUUAGAGUCUGAAUUUUUCAGCCACCAACAGGUUUUCCUAGAUGUUUACAAGACUGUCAUAACAGGACACCCUGGGGUUCCAUCCACGCCACUUGGUUGCAUUCAGAGCAGCUCUCCUCCCUGAAAAGCGUAUCACAGGCUUGGGGAGGGUCAUGCAACCACAUAUGGCACAUUUUGCAGCUCUCAAGACAAGAGAAUGACUGGAUUUAGAAAUGGAAGCCACACACUCAAGACUUUCAUUUUCUUUUUUCUUUUUUUUUCCUUUCUUCAUUUUAAUUUUACUUUAGAAACUGGUGAUAGCAUCAGAGCAAGUCUCCAUAGACCUGCUUUGAAAGCCAGAUAGCCUGGCAUGGUUGCAUGCACGUAUAAUCUCAGCUACUCUGGAGACUGACGUGGGACGAUCACUCGAGCCAGGAGGUCAAGGCUGCAGUGAGCU